UACGUAGGUGGCAAGCGUUGUCCGGAAUUAUUGGGCGUAAAGCGCGCGCAGGCGGUCCUUUAAGUCUGAUGUGAAAGCCCACGGCUCACCGUGGAAGGUCAUUGGAAACUGGAGGACUUGAGUACAGAAGAGGAAAGCGGAAUUCCACGUGUAGCGGUGAAAUGCGUAGAGAUGUGGAGGAACACCAGUGGCGAAGGCGGCUUUCUGGUCUGUAACUGACGCUGAGGCGCGAAAGCGUGGGGAGCAAACAGG
rnacentral:rRNA from 1 species